rnacentral:SRP_RNA from 1 species
CCUGAUCCCCCGUGCGGUAUCACCUCGUUGAAUCCCCCAGGGCCGGAAGGCAGCAAGGGCAGACGGGCUCUGGUAGGUGUGCGGGGGAUCCCUUUA